rnacentral:rRNA from 1 species
GAUGAACGCUGGCGGCGUGCCUAAUACAUGCAAGUCGAGCGAACAGACGAGGAGCUUGCUCCUCUGACGUUAGCGGCGGACGGGUGAGUAACACGUGGAUAACCUACCUAUAAGACUGGGAUAACUUCGGGAAACCGGAGCUAAUACCGGAUAAUAUAUUGAACCGCAUGGUUCAAUAGUGAAAGACGGUUUUGCUGUCACUUAUAGAUGGAUCCGCGCCGCAUUAGCUAGUUGGUAAGGUAACAGCUUACCAAGGCAACGAUGCGUAGCCGACCUGAGAGGGUGAUCGGCCACACUGGAACUGAGACACGGUCCAGACUCCUACGGGAGGCAGCAGUAGGGAAUCUUCCGCAAUGGGCGAAAGCCUGACGGAGCCACGCCGCGUGAGUGAUGAAGGUCUUCGGAUCGUAAAACUCUGUUAUUAGGGAAGAACAAAUGUGUAAGUAACUAUGCACGUCUUGACGGUACCUAAUCAGAAAGCCACGGCUAACUACGUG